GACGAACGCUGGCGGCGUGCCUAAUACAUGCAAGUAGAACGCUGAAGGCGGAGCUUGCUUCUCUGGAUGAGUUGCGAACGGGUGAGUAACGCGUAGGUAACCUGCCUGGUAGCGGGGGAUAACUAUUGGAAACGAUAGCUAAUACCGCAUAAUAGUAGAUGUUGCAUGACAUUUGCUUAAAAGGUGCAAUUGCAUCACUACCAGAUGGACCUGCGUUGCAUUGGGUAGUUGGUGGGGUAACGGCUCACCAAGGCGGCGAUACAUAGCCGACCUGAGAGGGUGAGCAGCCACACUGGGACGGUGACCGGGCCCAUAGGCCUUGAGGAGCCGGCAGUACGGAAACGGCGGGAAUCGGCGGAAGUCAGAGCGAGCUACGCCGCGUGAGUGAGGAAGGAUGUCGGGUCCGAAAGCUCGGUUGUCGGGGUGGAACGAGUGUUCGAGUGGGAAGUUCAGUCAGUGACGGUAACUGAUAAGAAAGGGACGGCUAACUACGUG
rnacentral:rRNA from 1 species